AAGUGAGGCAACUGGUGUGAUCAAAGCAGGUUUGUGUGUUCACAUAUGUGUAUAUAUGGAGGUGGGCGGUUUAGGAGGAGGCUUGGUGUCAGGACUACUUGAGAGGAUGCUAAGGACAUAAUCAGAUAUUUGGGGGACUAGGAAUAUAGGAAUUUAAGGGGAUUGCUCUGAUUAUGUGAAACUGGUUGAUGAAAAUCUUGGUGUGGUGGGUAACAAUAUGGACGGAGGGGGCUGGGCCCAGUAGCUCACACCUGUAAUCCCAGCACUUUGGGAGGUCAAGGCAGGAAGAUCGCCUGAGCUCAGGAGUUCGAGACCAGCCUGGACAACAUAGCGAGGCCCAAUCUCUACAAAAAAAUUUAAAAAAUUAGGUGGGCAUGGUGGUGCAUGCCUGCAGUCCCAGCUGUUCGGGAGGCUGAGGUGAGGACUGCUUGAGCCUGGGAGGUCCAGGCUGCAGUGAGCUAAGAUGGGCCACUGCACUCCAGCCUGGGUGACAGAGUGAGACCCUGUCUCCAAGAAAUAAAAAUUAAAUAAUUAAAGAAUAUGGGCAGAAGGGAGGGUAUGGACAUGUAAGUAUGGGGGAGAAAUCUUAAACUUGUUAACUAACUUGCUCUUGGGAAGAAGUCAAACAUUAUUUCAGUAUGGAUGGAGUAGUCCCUGAGAAAAUCAGGAAGAAUAGGUUUGCAGCAAGACAGAAUUUGAUUAUUUCUUCAAAUGAGGCAAGCCAGAGCUUUUAGCAGGUCAUGAGUGAUCACAGUGUGGGAUUAUUCACAUACUCAGCCUCUCUCCAGUGCUUGUUUCUCCUGCUGCCCUAAUAGCAGUUGUUUCCCUUUGAUAGUCUUCCUGGAGCUUGGGCUUGUCACUGUCCCCAGACCUGGAAGGUAAGCUCCUGAAGCCUGGUAUGCUAGUUACUUUUCAGAAUAUCGGCCUUGAUACCACUGGUGCAUUCAUGAUAGAGGCCGUGGUCUAGAGCCUGCCCCAACCCUGCAGGGGAACAGGGAAACAUUGGCUUUCUGAGCUACGGGAUUUCCAGGAAGGUUUGUUCUCCAGCCAGAACAUAUUGGGUUUCUGGGGACUCUUCUUGCCAAAAUUCACUUUCAUUGAGCAAGCAUUUAGCACUGCCAGAAUGUUGGGGAGAGAAGGUUGCUGAAAUCCAGUUCAUCCUAAGGCCUCAGGAUGUUCUGUGAAUAGGCUUUGUGUCCAUCAUUUAGCACCCUCCCCAUGGCUUGGUCCAGGGACCCCUGGUCUCCUUGAGGAGAGAAUUACCCUACCUUUCCCUUUCUCCUCUGGGCUUAGACUUAGCAGUUCUGGGAGAGGGGUAUGUUUGGUAUUGGGAAUGCUGCCUAGGGUAUGGCCACUGUGGAGGUACAGCUAAAGGCUUUCUCCUCAUUAACUCUAAGACUUUACUGGUUUGGCUGUCAUAGCAUGAUUUGAAUUUCCUGUGCUUUUACAUAUUCCAUGUUUCUUUCCUGACUUUAUUACAAGUAAACAGAUCCAUUGUUCUGUGCCAUUUAACUAGUUAGAACACGUUUAGCUGCAUUUAGCAGAAAGUGCUAACUUAAGCGGCUGAAAUGGAAGGGAACUUGGUCUUACCUUUUUGGGAAGCUGUUUUCCAGAAGCCACCCAGUUUGUUGUCUCGUGGCCUAAAAUUGGGUCACAUGUCUAUUUUUGAAUCAAUUGUUGGUAAAGGGAAUAGAAUUAUUGAAGAACCAGAAUUUAACCCUGUAAGUUAUCGUCAUUCUUGGUUUGUGUUUAUGCUCAUAGUUCACAAAGGCCAAUGGACCUCCCACUUCCCUUCCCUGUUAAUAGAGUCUGGCUUAAAAGACACUCAGUAGCUAUCUCCUAGGGGAAGGCCUAGCUGCACUCUCUGUUCACUUCAUUCCCACUUCCUUUUACCACUGACCUCCCACAGACUUAUUUAACUGCUUCCUUUGGGAGGGACUAUUCUUUCCUCUCCUACCUGACCUCCCCUGCUUAACAGAUUUUCCAUGAUAUGCUUUGUGGUCCUCAGCUGUUUUACUUUCAGGAUGCCUUCUAUAUCCUCAGCUUCUCUUAACUUUUAUUUUGCACAUCCUUCCAGCACUGAUUGCUUGUGAACUCAUCUCGUGCCUGCAAGACAUCAAAAGUUUCUCCAAAGACAUCCCUUCCUCUCUGCCCUCAUCCUAUAUCAAGGUCUUAGCUCCUUGAAGACUGCAUUAAUGUGUCUUUUGCCUUCAUCCCCCCCCCACCCUCCCGCUUCCUCUAGUCCUUGUGUUUACCAAAAUACUUUUGCUAAAACCUGUAUGUCUAGCUUCUGCUGAUACUCUUAGCAAUACUCCCUUAUUUCCUUCUGGCGCCAUUUGCCAAUCACCAGCUAAUGGCUUUGCUCUUUGCAUGGUACCUGUUUCUGUCCUACUAGCUUCUAGUCUGAAAAGGAAGCCUUUACUAGCAGCUUCAACCCAGUCCUCCUUACCUUGCACCUAUUAACGUUGGUUCAACAUGAAGGGGAAGUAAGAUAAGUGGAAGAGGAUACACAGGAAAGGUGGAACUGGAUUCAGGUGUCUGUGUUCUGCCAUUGACACUUGGGACUGCGUUCCAGCUUCCACCUGUGGAAACCAGAAAGCAUUUGCCAAAAAUUCUAAACAGAGGGUCUAUUUCUGAAGCUGAGGAAUCACAUGGAGUGAAUAGCAUGGGGGAAGGGGAUUACUAAUGAGGCUGAAAGAAAAGUACCAGGAAGAGACUGACUUCAUGCAUAAUCCAUAAAGCCAGGUUUUCUUGAAAGGUGACCUGCUUUCUUGUAUUCCUGCAAGUACACGGCAGGGUGGGCAGUUCCAGGCUUAUAGUCAUUAUUCCCUAACAAACGGUCAAGACUUAGGCUGCCCAAGACUCUACUACCCUUGUAGUCAAAAAUCCAACCACCUUGACCUUUACCUCAUUAUCUGACCCUUUAGCAUGGAGUCCUAAAAUGGUCCUGAAUGGACAAAUAUCUAGAACUCUGGUAAAUUAACUUGAGUAGCAUGGGAAAUAAGUAUCACCUCAUAGCAGGACUGAAAAACCUCCAGUUAGGAAAGGGGACUCAGAACUGUACUGUAUUCUGUAGAAUCUUUAUCCGUAAGUGCUAUGUAUAUACUAAUAGUUAAGGUGAAUAAUAAAACAAUUGUGAGCUAAGGAAUGUGAUACAGAACACAAGGAGUCAAUUAAUGCAUGAGUCUUAAGGGAAAUUCUUAGACUUCAGUGGGUCUAAGCUCAGAACUCUGAGCUUAGAGAAACAGGAUGCCCCAGUAAACAUGAUUUGUUUGAGAGAAACUACCAUAUGUAAUAGAUGAUUCCUCAAUAAACUGUUUUCACUAGGUC
rnacentral:lncRNA from 10 species